rnacentral:rRNA from 1 species
CGAUGAACCACCUUCGGGUGGGGAUUAGUGGCGAACGGGUGAGUAACACGUGGGCAAUCUGCCCUGCACUCUGGGACAAGCCCUGGAAACGGGGUCUAAUACCGGAUACUGAACCGCUUGGGCAUCCAGGCGGUUCGAAAGCUCCGGCGGUGCAGGAUGAGCCCGCGGCCUAUCAGCUUGUUGGUGAGGUAACGGCUCACCAAGGCGACGACGGGUAGCCGGCCUGAGAGGGCGACCGGCCACACUGGGACUGAGACACGGCCCAGACUCCUACGGGAGGCAGCAGUGGGGAAUAUUGCACAAUGGGCGAAAGCCUGAUGCAGCGACGCCGCGUGAGGGAUGACGGCCUUCGGGUUGUAAACCUCUUUCAGCAGGGAAGAAGCGAAAGUGACGGUACCUGCAGAAGAAGCGCCGGCUAACUACGUGCCAGCAGCCGCGGUAAUACGUAGGGCGCGAGCGUUGUCCGGAAUUAUUGGGCGUAAAGAGCUCGUAGGCGGCUUGUCGCGUCGGUUGUGAAAGCCCGGGGCUUAACCCCGGGUCUGCAGUCGAUACGGGCAGGCUAGAGUUCGGUAGGGGAGAUCGGAAUUCCUGGUGUAGCGGUGAAAUGCGCAGAUAUCAGGAGGAACACCGGUGGCGAAGGCGGAUCUCUGGGCCGAUACUGACGCUGAGGAGCGAAAGCGUGGGGAGCGAACAGGAUUAGAUACCCUGGUAGUCCACGCCGUAAACGGUGGGCACUAGGUGUGGGCGACAUUCCACGUCGUCCGUGCCGCAGCUAACGCAUUAAGUGCCCCGCCU